rnacentral:other from 1 species
AAAUCCCUGCCAUGCUCGUGUGGAUGCGAUAAAAUUGAGCCAACAUUUGAAGAAGGGGAGCCUUAGAUUUUCAAGUGAACUGCACGCCGCCUCGGCGCGGAAGCACAAAGCUUGAAUGCGGGCGCCCACGUGGACCGCAAGGUUCAGAAAAUCAAUUCUCACGGCAUGUCGCGGGGAUUUU